UGCUGAUCCUGCAGCUCCUCGAGGGUGUCAUCGCUUUCCCCCUUCCCAGACCCAGCACACCCUGCCUGCAUGGCGCUGCGCUGCACCUUCACUCUGGUCACGGGUCUGGCAGUCAGCUCACCAAUUCCUCCUGCUUCCCUGGGACUUGCCGGCUUUUAGCACUGCAAUUCACUCAGCAAACUGGGACUGUUGGUCACCCUACCUGGCAGCCAGUGAUAAGGUGAGGGCCACUCCUGGGAGGGAGGACACCUGUGGGGAAAAUUCUUGUGUUAUUUAUUUCUCCUUCGGGAUAGGGUGCCUGCAGCGCUUCAUGGGAGGGGGUGGGCUGAUGCUGCGGGCUCAGAAGUUUCAAGGGCAUCUGGGGAGACCAGAUAUUCAGAGACCUUCUAGAUGUGCCUGUUCCAUGUAUCAGGGACGCAGGUUUUCCCAACAGGGCUGGUGUCAUUGGCAUGACAGACCUGCCUUGGCUGAGCGUUCACCUGUCUUUGGAGUUCAGCCACCUUAGCAAGUCCUGGGUUUGUUCUUCAGACUUUGCUGCUCGCCCAUUGCCUGGAUCGGGGGCUACUUUGUAAACCACCAGGAAGACUCCAGUGUUUCUGGUUAAUUUUUAGAUGUUUGUUAAUUGCUCUUGGUCUCUCAUUAAUCCCCUGUGGGUCAUCCAGGAAACAUACUCACCACUGUCUGUUCUCUGAGUUUUCAUUUCCAGGCAUCCGCCCUGCCUGGAUCUCCUCACCUGCCAGGAACUUCCUCUCCACAAGCCGGCCAUCCCAGCAAAAGUUCUAACACCAAAGGUCUGGCAACUAGCCUGCCAUCUUGUGCCUGGAGCCGCCUGCGUGCCACCUACUCCCGAAGAUGGGAACCUUGUUGCCAGUUGGGCAGAUGCGGGGCAAUCCUGUACCAAGACCCCAUUUUACCACCUGCUUUCUCAGACCACUCUGGAACCCACUGUCUCAGAUUGUGUCCUCCAGGAAGCAGACCAUGAGAGGGAGUUGGCAGGGCCAAAGAUUUACUGGGGCUAACUAACACUCAGGAAAGGGAUAGGAAGGAAACAGGGCUGGAGAGCAGGUUGAGCCCGACCUGACAGUCUCGAGCAGCCCAACAGGGAGGUGUGGAGCAAGGGUUGCCCACUAGAGGGGCCUGCAUUGGGUACGGGUGAUGGGGUCCACAUGGUACCUGGCAUAUAGCAGGCUGUGCAAUCCAUAUUAACUGACUGGAUAAAUUAAUGCCCAGAAAAGGUGCCCUGGAGAAUGGGUGUGUGCUGAACACAAUAGGGAAGGGCCCAGCAUCUGCCUUGGCAUAGGCAGAACUGUGCUGUGCCCUGCAACAGGCCACCUGAGAGCUGCUUUGAUCUUGUGUGUACAUUAGAUGACUGCCAGGGGCAUGAAGGGGAUGUGCUUCCAGGGCAUUUGCUGGCAGGGCGUCUCGUGAUCUCUUGGUAUUGGUGUGAGCACAGCCUGGCAGGAGAGGGCAGAUCUCCAUGCAAAGUAUGUCAGAAAGCAGAUGGAAGCCAGGCCCCCUCCUGAAAGAGGCUCCUUGAAGGAGCCCAGAGAAGGUUCGUGGCUGGAGCAGACG
rnacentral:lncRNA from 10 species